rnacentral:rRNA from 1 species
UACGUAGGGGGCAAGCGUUGUCCGGAUUCAUUGGGCGUAAAGAGCGUGUAGGCGGCCAGGUAGGUCGGUUGUGAAAACUGGAGGCUCAACCUUCAGUGGUCGACCGAAACCAUCUGGCUAGAGUCCGGGAGAGGAGAGUGGAAUUCCUGGUGUAGCGGUGAAAUGCGCAGAUAUCAGGAAGAACACCCGUGGCGAAGGCAGCUCUCUGGGACGGUACUGACGCUGAGACGCGAAAGCGUGGGGAGCGAACAGG